rnacentral:rRNA from 1 species
AACGAACGCUGGCGGCAUGCCUAACACAUGCAAGUCGAACGCCCCGGUUCGCCGGGGAGUGGCGCACGGGUGAGUAACGCGCGGGAACCUGCCCGGCAGUACGGGACAACCGCGGGAAACUGCGGCUGAUACCGUAUACGGCCUGAGGGCGAAAGAAAUUCGCUGUCGGAGGGGCCCGCGUCGGAUUAGGUAGUUGGUGGGGUAACGGCCUACCAAGCCUGCGAUCCGUAGCUGGUCUGAGAGGAUGAUCAGCCACACUGGGACUGAGACACGGCCCAGACUCCUACGGGAGGCAGCAGUGGGGAAUAUUGGACAAUGGGCGCGAGCCUGAUCCAGCAAUGCCGCGUGAGUGAUGAAGGCCUUAGGGUUGUAAAGCUCUUUCGCCCGCGACGAUGAUGACGGUAGCGGGAGAAGGAGCCCCGGCUAACUCCGUGUCAGCAGCCGCCGUAAGAC